rnacentral:misc_RNA from 1 species
GAAAUGCGAUAAGUAAUGUGAAUUGCAGAAUUCAGUGAAUCAUCGAAUCUUUGAACGCACCUUGCGCUCCUUGGUAUUCCUUGGAGCAUGCCUGUUUGAGUAUCAUGAAAUCUUCAAAGUACACCUUUUGUUAACUCAAUUGGUUUCUACUUUGGUAUUGGAGGUCUUUGCAGCUUCACACCUGCUCCUCUUUGUUCAUUAGCUGGAUCUCAGUGUUAUGCUUGGUUCCACUCGGCGUGAUAAGUUAUCUAUCGCUGAGGACACUGUAAAAGGUGGCCAAGGUAAAUGCAGAUGAACCGCUUCUAAUAGUCCAUUGACUUGGACAAUACUUUUAUGAUCUGAUCUCAAAUCAGGUAGGACUACCCGCUGAACUUAAGC